GACGAACGCUGGCGGCGUGCUUAACACAUGCAAGUCGAACGGAAAGGCCCUGCCUUUGUGGGGUGCUCGCGUGGCGAACGGGUGAGUAACACGUGAGUAACCUGCCCUUGACUUUGGGAUAACUUCAGGAAACUGGGGCUAAUACCGGAUAGGAGCUCCUGCUGCAUGGUGGGGGUUGGAAAGUUUCGGCGGUUGGGGAUGGACUCGCGGCUUAUCAGCUUGUUGGUGGGGUAGUGGCUUACCAAGGCUUUGACGGGUAGCCGGCCUGAGAGGGGGGCCGGCCACAUUGGGACUGCGAUACGGCCCAGACGCCUACGGUGGGCAGCAGUGGGGAGUAUUGCACAAUGGGCGGAAGCCUGAUGCAGCAACGCCGCGUGCGGGAUGAAGGCCUUCGGGUUGUAAACCGCUUUCGCCUGUGACGAAGCGUGAGUGACGGUAAUGGGUAAAGAAGCACCGGCUAACUACGUG
rnacentral:rRNA from 1 species